UCGGGAAUUUUGGGCAAUGGGCGAAAGCCUGAUCCAGCAAUGCCGCGUGCAGGAUGAAGGCCUUCGGGUUGUAAACUGCUUUUGUACGGAACGAAACGGCGAGCUCUAAUAAAGUUUGCUAAUGACGGUACCGUAAGAAUAAGCACCGGCUAACUACGUGCCAGCAGCCGCGGUAAUACGUAGGGUGCGAGCGUUAAUCGGAAUUACUGGGCGUAAAGCGUGCGCAGGCGGUUAUAUAAGACAGAUGUGAAAUCCCCGGGCUCAACCUGGGACCUGCAUUUGUGACUGUAUAGCUAGAGUACGGUAGAGGGGGAUGGAAUUCCGCGUGUAGCAGUGAAAUGCGUAGAUAUGCGGAGGAACACCGAUGGCGAAGGCAAUCCCCUGGACCUGUACUGACGCUCAUGCACGAAAGCGUGGGGAGCAAACAGGAUUAGAUACCCCAGUAGUCCCUGAGCGGGCUGGCAAGGCGCAU
rnacentral:rRNA from 1 species